CAAAAAUGAAAUUUUAUUAUUAAAAAAAUGUAUUUUUUCCUUCUCAACUUAGAUUCAGCUAAACCACUGGAAGUAUAUUGAGUUCUUAGAGAGAAUUGAAGGAACCACUGAGCUGGGAACCCUAAAUAAUAUGGAAAUUGGAAUGACAUGGCCUAAGUUCUAAGGCAACUUUCAUAAGAUAUUCACACAGGUGGGAGAAGAAGGUUGCCAAUUUGUCCACUACUGCAAGCCAGCUUGUUUCCUAGCUUCUGUAGUUGCCUCCAGGGAGAGCUAAAUGCGAGAGGAGAUUAGCCUUAAAGUCUCUACAUGCUCAAGACAGGUUUUUCCAGAACUAGAUAAAAGCUACUUACAAGAUCAGUACCUGGGUCCUGGAGUCACUUCAAAUGAGAGCAUCAUUACCAAAGAAUUCAUGGUAUAGGGCUUGAAUAAAUGAGAUCAGAAGUCAAGAAACAGAAUCAGACUCCAAAGCCUACAAGGUAACCAGUGAGCAAAUUAGGUUAGUGGUAUUAGACAACAGAAGAAUCAAAGAAUGAGAGAUUCAACCAUCAGGAAACAAAAAUAGUGAAGUACAUAUCAGUAAAAUAAUUUUUUUAGAACAAAUACCUACUGUUCAUUGCAACUUUCAGUUGAGUAUGGAAGAUACAGCUAGACACACUACUCAGUAAUUUGGAGAAAGGUACUUAAAGACCAAACCCGAGAGAUGUAAAUAUUUCCAGAAUAAUCAGAAUGGGACAGUGAGCUUAUUUGAAGUUUAAGUCAUUCUCGCAUACCUCCAGACAUAUGGCUAUUGUAAAUAUAAAAAUAAAUAAAUAAAAAUAAUGUUCCACACAGGAAAUCAAGGUGUAGUUUUCAAGCUGCUUCACUAUGCUACUAUAAAUAAUUCAUAGCUAACAUCUUCCAACCCCAAACAGAAAUUUAAAGUUAAUGAUAUUAUUCAGGAUGAAAAAUUCAUUAUUAAUUUCCUAGUAAUCAUAUCUAAAGACAAUGAUCAGAAAUUUCCUCAGGAGUUACAUUUCAGCAUUCCAUAUUAAAACUCACUGGUCCAACCCUGGAAUCAAAUGAAGGCUUGUUUACCUAAAUACUUUAUUUCUAAAGGCAUAAUGGCUUUAGCUAUCCUCAAAAUAACAUAGGAACUAACACAGUUGAGUCGUUAUUAAAUUUAUUCUGUUAUUAACUAGUGCUACAGGCAUUCAAAAAUGAUAUUUUGAUACAAUUAGCAACUAGAAACAAUUGCUUCUUUGGAAAAAAAGUAGAAUAUCA
rnacentral:lncRNA from 1 species